rnacentral:rRNA from 1 species
GAUAGCUACCACAUCUAAGGAAGGCAGCAGGCACGCAAAUUACCCAAUUGUCGACGACAGAGGUAGUAAUAAUAAAUAACAAUACAGGACUCGUCCGAGGCCUUGUAAUUGGAAUGUUUUUAAGAUAAAGACAUGAAGGAGGAACUAUUAGAGGGCAAGUCUGGUGCCAGCAGCCGCGGUAAUUCCAGCUCUAAUAGCGUAUUUUAAUGUUGUUGCGGUUGAAAAGCUCGUAGUUGGAUAUCAUUGAUUGUAUAAGUUCAAUGUGAAUUGUUCUUAUACAGGAGAGGGAAGUCAAGCGGUGAAAAUAAACUUGAAUGUUUAUAUCCACAUAACGCCUGGCUUAAGUUACUUUGAAUAAAUCAAAGUGCUCAAUACAAGCUUUUGCUUGAAUAUAUGUGCAUGGGAUAACGCAAGAAGAUCAAUAUCGAAUCUGUUGGUUGAAUCGAUAUGGGUAAUGAUUAAUAGAGAUUGACGGGGGCAUUUGUAUUUGAAAGCGAGAGGUGAAAUUCUGUGACCUUUCAAAGACAUGCUAAAGCGAAAGCACUUGCCAAGAAUGUUUUCACUAAUCAAGAACGAAAGUUAGAGGCUCGAAGGCGAUUAGAUACCGCCCUAGUUCUAACCAUAAACAAUGCCAACUAACAAUCUUGUGUAGUUUAAGUUGAAACUAACAAGGAAGUUUUCGGAAAACCAAAGUUUUUGGGUUCCGGGGGUAGUAUGGUUGCAAAGCUGAAACUUAAAGUAAUUGACGGAGUGGCACCACCAGGAGUGGAGCCUGUGGCUUAAUUUGACCCAACACGGGGAAGCUCACCAGGGCAAGACACUAUUAGGAUUGACAGAUUGAUAGCUCUUUCUCGAUAAAGUGGGUGGUGGUGCAUGGCCGUUCUUAGUUGGUGGAGUGAUUUGUCUGGUUAAUUCCGAUAACGAACGAGACUCUGACCAAUUACUAGUGAAAUCUUUUGAAAAGAAAGUUACCGCAGUAAUGCAGUUUCAUUCGAGAUUUUACUUCUUAAGGGGACACGCUAUUGUGAAUAGCACGAGGAAGAGCAAUAACAGGUCUGUGAUGCCCUUAGAUGUUCUGGGCUGCACACGCGCUACAAUAAAUUAAUCAACAAGUUCUCCGUUUUGACAGAUGCGGGCAAACUUUUGAAAUUAAUUUAUGGUAGGAAUGGGAACUUGCAAUUAUUUUCCCUGAACUAGGAAUUCCU